GUGCCAUGAUGAGGAUACUUUCUGAGUAGUUCUUUGAAUCUUUCCCAAGCAUCAUAUAGUUAUUCUCCAUCCAAUUGACAGAAAUUAUUGAUCUUUUCUCUUAAACAU